GUCUACAGUAAUUUAGUGGUCUGAGGGUUGGACUCCGACUUUGGAGAACAGGGUUCGAAUCCCUGCUUGGCCA